rnacentral:rRNA from 1 species
GACGAACGCUGGCGGCGUGCUUAACACAUGCAAGUCGAACGGUGACGAGGAGCUUGCUCCUCUGAUCAGUGGCGAACGGGUGAGUAACACGUGAGCAACCUGCCCCAGACUCUGGGAUAACAGUUGGAAACAGCUGCUAAUACCGGAUACGAGACGGAGAGGCAUCUCUACCGUCUGGAAAGUUUUUCGGUCUGGGAUGGACUCGCGGCCUAUCAGCUAGUUGGUGAGGUAAUGGCUCACCAAGGCGACGACGGGUAGCCGGCCUGAGAGGGCGACCGGCCACACUGGGACUGAGACACGGCCCAGACUCCUACGGGAGGCAGCAGUGGGGAAUAUUGCACAAUGGGCGAAAGCCUGAUGCAGCGACGCCGCGUGAGGGAUGACGGCC